rnacentral:rRNA from 1 species
UACGUAGGGGGCAAGCGUUGUCCGGAUUUAUUGGGCGUAAAGAGCUCGUAGGCGGUUCCGUAAGUCGUGCAUUCAAAUCUCUGGGCUCAACCCAGAAUCGCUUCCGAUACUGCGGUGACUGGAGUCCGGUAGGGGAGUGUGGAAUUCCUGGUGUAGCGGUGAAAUGCGCAGAUAUCAGGAGGAACACCGGUGGCGAAGGCGGGUCUCUGGGCCGAUACUGACGCUGAGGAGCGAAAGCGUGGGGAGCGAACAGG